AUGGACACAGUGUUUGAAGAAAGUGAUAAAGAAAGUACAGGAGGAGUUUUAUCUUUGGAAGAAGAAAUGGUCCUUGGGCACAGACACCAUAUGAGCUUUCCUUUCAGGAUUCUCUGCUCAACUGUCCUCUGCUGUGGUGAGGCCACCUAUGCUUUGUAUAUGUUUGAAAUUAAUUGAAAAGCUAGUGACAGAUUCUGAUAUCAUUUGCUAUGAGCUUUGUUGAUGUGGAGAUAAUUUUGGAUCAAAUUACUCUAACGUUUUUCAACAAAGACGUGAGGAGAAAUAAAGCUGCAUUACUUUUUUUGGCACAUUCUUGCUUUAGGACCUAUAACGAGGGCAUUGCUGAUGACAUGUUCCUUCUUACCACUUGUGUAUGCGGCCAUUCACUGCAAUACACUGGCCAUCCAUACCAGCAACGACUUUCCUGACAUUAAGCUACAAGCGAUAAAAUUCAUCUGUCAUGAUACGGUGUUCCUUGGUGAUUAUCUCACGUGUAGUGACUCUGGAAUUUUUUCCUGCAUCUCUGAAACAGAGGAGCCUACCCUUACUAUUAAUCAUAUAUUUUGUAUUAUUGUUGGCACCAUGGCUGGAGUUUUGGAAAAGUGGAGCUCAUCUUCAUAACAACACAGAAAAUAAUUCCAGCAUGGUGGGUACAUACGGAUGCUUACCUUAAUCAUGCUACUAUAUGCUGCUAUCAACUUCUCUGGCUGGUCAGCACUGAAACUGCAGCUCUCAAAUGAGGAAGUAAUUGACAAGAGACUGAGGUGGGCCAUAGAAUCCUACACUACAGCUUCUAGUUUUUAGAAAAUGUGAUAAUAAUAUUGAUAUUUAUGUUCGUUGGAGGGAAAAUUUCACUGAAGUCUUGUGACUCAUUAAUUGCCAUGUAGUUCAUCAUAACCUAACUAUUAGCCAUUGGCUUUAUGCUCCUCUUCUGUCAGUAUUUGCACCCAAGGUGGUCAAGAAAAUUUUUGCGAGGACAUACUGAAAAUCAUUCAGAAGCACUGUGAUAUUGUGUAAACAUCUGGAGAAAACUCAAUUAAAAGAAUAAAAAUAAGCAGCUGAGGAAUUAAUAUCACUCAUGGAGAAGGGUUGGAUAUUUUCAAUAAAAAACAUAUG
rnacentral:lncRNA from 1 species